GGUAGCAAUACUUCUAGUGGCGACCGGGUGCGUAACACGUAGCUGACCUACCCCGGCGCGGGGGACAACAGGCCGAAAGGUCUGCUAAUACCGCAUAGGCCACAGGGCGUUAAAGAACCUGUGGGAAACUUCCGGGGCGCCGGGUGGGGGCUGCGGCCCAUCAGGUAGUUGGUAGGGUAGUGGCCUACCAAGCCGACGACGGGUAGGGGGCCUGAGAGGGUGGUCCCCCACACUGGGACUGACAGACGGCCCAGACUCCUACGGGAGGCAGCAGUAAGGGAUAUUGCGCAAUGGGCGAAAGCCUGACGCAGCAACGCCGCGUGGAGGAUGACGGCCUUCGGG
rnacentral:rRNA from 1 species